GCUGGGCGUGGUGGCGGGCGCCUGUAGUCCCAGCUACUCGGGAGGCUGAGGCAGGAGAAUCACUUGAACCCGGGAGGCAGAGGUUGCAGUGAGCCGAGAUUGUGCCACUGCACUCCAGCCUGGGCAACAGAGUGAGACUCUGUCUCAA
rfam:Homo sapiens chromosome 2, GRCh38 reference primary assembly.